GAUGAACGCUGGCGGCGUGCUUAACACAUGCAAGUCGAACGGUGAACGAGGGAGCUUGCUCCCUCCGGAUCAGUGGCGAACGGGUGAGUAACACGUGAGCAAUCUGCCCUGGACUCUGGGAUAAGCGUUGGAAACGACGUCUAAUACCGGAUACGAGGCGUGGGGGCAUCCCCAACGCCUGGAAAGAACUUCGGUCCAGGAUGGGCUCGCGGCCUACCAGGUAGUUGGUGGGGUAAUGGCUCACCAAGCCUACGACGGGUAGCCGGCCUGAGAGGGUGACCGGCCACACUGGGACUGAGACACGGCCCAGACUCCUACGGGAGGCAGCAGUGGGGAAUAUUGCACAAUGGGCGAAAGCCUGAUGCAGCAACGCCGCGUGAGGGACGACGGCCUUCGGGUUGUAAACCUCUUUUAGCAGGGAAGAAGCGAAAGUGACGGUACCUGCAGAAAAAGCACCGGCUAACUACGUGCCAGCAGCCGCCGUAAGAC
rnacentral:rRNA from 1 species